UUACGGCUAUAUCACGCUGAAAAAAACGGUUCCCAUACGAUCACUGAAGUUAAGCAAUGUCGAGCCUGGUCAGUAACUAGAUAGGUGACCGCUUGGAAAUACCA